AUUGAACGCUGGCGGCAGGCUUAACACAUGCAAGUCGAGCGGAGAUGAGGUGCUUGCACCUUAUCUUAGCGGCGGACGGGUGAGUAAUGCUUAGGAAUCUGCCUAUUAGUGGGGGACAACAUUCCGAAAGGAAUGCUAAUACCGCAUACGUCCUACGGGAGAAAGCAGGGGAUCUUCGGACCUCGCGCUAAUAGAUGAGCUUAAGUCGGAUUAGCUAGUUGGUGGGGUAAAGGCCUACCAAGGCGACGAUCUGUAGCGGGUCUGAGAGGAUGAUCCGCCACACUGGGAAUGAGACACGGCCCAGACUCCUACGGGAGGCAGCAGUGGGGAAUAUUGGACAAUGGGGGGAACCCUGAUCCAGCCAUGCCGCGUGUGUGAAGAAGGCCUUAUGGUUGUAAAGCACUUUAAGCGAGGAGGAGGCUACUGAGACUAAUACUCUUGGAUAGUGGACGUUACUCGCAGAAUAAGCACCGGCUAACUCUGUGCCAGCAGCCGCCGUAAGAC
rnacentral:rRNA from 1 species